GGAGUAACCCCGAGUCGGCUUACCUGGCUCGGGCGGCACAUGAGGCCAGGCGAGGAGGGAGGGCAGCAAGGCGGACCGGGAAGAGAAGCGCCAUGGCGGCGGCUGCGGCGGAGGAGUGCGGUGGCUUCUGGCUGAGAUGCCAGAAUUCCCUGGAAAUCCAUGAAGCGGAAGAUCCUGCCGCAGGCGAAAGGCGGCCUUGUUGCCGUUGCUCUUCUUCUCACCUGUCCUAAUGGAACCGGCCAGAAGCAACGGAGCCGUUCCCACCUGGCAGAUGUCCUCUGUCAGAUCCGGUUUUGCGCCUUGUCUGCAGGAUUUCUGCUCAAAGACAUUGCAGUGAGGCCGGGCAGAGGAGCGGGAGAUAUUUCCGCCUUUAAAUCAAGAGGAAAUGUCAGCUGGACUCUCCAAAAGUGGCACUCAUUAGACUCUCCCGCUUCUUGUGCCGGAUUCCUCUUUCUCCACUGUCCUCAUUUCUGCACUUUAACUUUUACACCCAUGGCACAAAUAUAUUUUAAAUUAUAUUAAUAUG